GAGGCUCCAAGAAUAGCUGAUGCAGGUUGUGCAAUAGGUAGUACCAUCUGAUUAAGAGUCCAGAGACAUUGCUGAGGCAAGAGCACAAGGAACUUUAUUCUGCAAUUUGGCCUGUCCUACACCUGACAUUGGCUUUCAGUCCCAAAGUAACCAGAGUUUUCCAUUCCCCAGCAAGGCGGUAGCACCCAUCCCGGGACUGGCUCGCUUCCCCCUGCCGAGCCCUUUGAAACUGAGAUCACUUACCGGUGUGUAGCGUGCGAUCGCCGCCUUACAGCCCCGUGCAGACCCGUAUGAUGACCUUCUGAAUCUCUUUUCUUUCAAGGUGGUUCCCAGGAUAUAGGAAGAGAGCAACAUUUUCCAGCAUCUCACCAAGAAUCACUAUUUUCAGGGUGUAAUGUCGUAUUGUGGGGGGAAGUUUAGUAGAGGAGCUCAGUUAUAACUAAAAAGAAUGAGGCUUCAGCUGCUGGUGGUAUCCCCACUGAAGUUCUAAAACUUGGCAGUGAAGAGCUUUGGUCACAAAUAUAUAAUCUCAUGACAACAUAUGGGACGAGGAGGAUUUACCAGGGAAAUUUGAAGAUAUUGUAACAAUGACCAUCUUCAAGAAAGGAGCCAAGAACGAAUACGCAACAACAACAACAGCACUAUACUGCUGCCACAAAACAACAAAUUUCACAACAUAUGUCAGUGAUAAUGAACCUGAUUCUGAUAUCGGCAUCUCCCUGCUGUCAGUCACAGGGGCAGUCAUUGCCAGAGUCCUUUAUCAUCAGUCUCCCUCCAAUAACCAAAGAGUUGCUCCCCAAAUUGCAGGAUGGCUUCUGUCCACCUCCAGGCACAAUAGACAUGACAACUCGAUGAAUGCAAGGUGUAGCACCAAUCACUUUACAUCGCGAUUUUCAACCACAGGAGAACCUUCGGCUUCGUCAACUCCAUGAAGCAUUCUUCUCAAACUUGGCUGUCCACAGAAAUUUGCCUCCGUCUUACAAAUGCUUCAUGAUGGCAUGAUCCUAACCAACAGGUCUACAACUGAACCAAACUCAGUGAAAACCAGUGUGAAACAAGGCUGAAUCAUUGCUCCAAAGCUUCUCACAGACUUCAGGACUAAUGGGAAACUGUUUAACUUAUGGUGCAACUUUAGUAGUCAAACUGUAUUAUGUAGAUUUGCGCACUAACUGAGGCCGAGCUCCAAGUCAACACUGAUUCAUUCACUGAAUUAUAAGUAACACUGGGCCUCACACACAACUUCCACAAAUAAAAAGGUUCUCUACCAUGCACUUGUUUGUGAGGAUAAGUAUAUUUGUGCGUGAGUAUGUGUGCAUGUACAUUUGUGAUUGUGUACAUUCUCUGCAUAAAGUACAGAACUAAAUUAAGAACUGGUUCUGAAAUUUAUUUUGAUUGGAUUAACUUCUUCUUUGAAAGCAUUAGACAUUUCUGAGCUGAUGUGGAUGUCAUUUCAA